GGGUCAGUAGGUUGGUCGUGCCACCGGUACGUACUGGUCCCACUGAUUCCUCAUUCCUGAAGAACCGUAAUGCCAUUAAUUUGGUGUUGCGGGGAAACAGGACUGUUACUUUGAAAAAAUUAGAGUGUUUAAAGCAAGAUAACGCUUGAAUACAUUAGCAUGGAAUAAUGAAAUAGGACGAUCGAUCCUAUUUUGUUGGUUUCUAGGAUUGACGUA
rnacentral:rRNA from 1 species